CCCCUUCGCUUUUGCCGUGAACGCGCCAUUACUUUAGUUUCACUAUUCACAUAAACGAUGUGACGCAGUAAGCUGUGGCAAAGCUCUACCUCUUUCUGAUCUGUCUGCCAUAAGGACCCAAGCAGCUCAAUCUUUACUUUCAGAACCUUUGUUAAUGUUCUGUCUCGCUUCUAAACACUUCUCUGUUAUUUGGUGAACACCUAAAUCUCUUUAUUCCCUCCUUUCCUUCCAUUUGUUAUUCUAUAUUUCCAUUCAACACGGGCAGCACACGUUUCGUCACGGAAAAGAUAAGGUCUCCAGUCUACUAUGGAUGAGGAGAGAGAGGAGGGGGCUCCUACCUCUAAAACCACUCUGUCUGGGAGACAUGGCCGCCAGAGCAAAGCUAAGAGCCCAGAGCAGCGGGC